GAUGAACGCUGGCGGCGUGCCUAAUACAUGCAAGUCGAACGAAGUCUUCGGACUUAGUGGCGGACGGGUGAGUAACACGUGGGAACGUGCCUUUAGGUUCGGAAUAACUCAGGGAAACUUGUGCUAAUACCGAAUGUGCCCUUCGGGGGAAAGAUUUAUCGCCUUUAGAGCGGCCCGCGUCUGAUUAGCUAGUUGGUGAGGUAAAGGCUCACCAAGGCGACGAUCAGUAGCUGGUCUGAGAGGAUGAUCAGCCACAUUGGGACUGAGACACGGCCCAAACUCCUACGGGAGGCAGCAGUGGGGAAUCUUGCGCAAUGGGCGAAAGCCUGACGCAGCCAUGCCGCGUGAAUGAUGAAGGUCUUAGGAUUGUAAAAUUCUUUCACCGGGGACGAUAAUGACGGUACCCGGAGAAGAAGCCCCGGCUAACUUCGUGCCAGCCGCCGCCGUAA
rnacentral:rRNA from 1 species